GUCCCUGUAGCGCAAUGGAUAGCACAUUGGCUUUUUUAUCCAAAUGUCAUGGGUUCAAUUCCCAUCUGGGAUG